rnacentral:rRNA from 1 species
UACAGAGGCCCCAAGCGUUACCCGGAAUUACUGGGCGUAAAGAGUGCGUAGGUGGUUGUGUUAGUCGUCUGUUAAAACCCGGGGCUCAACUCCGGUGGUGCGGGCGAAACGGCACAACUCGAGAGCGUGAGAGGUCUGUGGAACUCUAGGUGUAGGGGUGAAAUCCGUUGAUAUCUAGGGGAACACCGAAAGCGAAGGCAGCAGACUGGCGCGUUUCUGACACUCAAGCACGAAAGCGUGGGUAGCGAACGGG